GAUUUCUGGUCUAGUGCGCCUGGCCCACGGCCGUUAGGCUUGUGAGUGCCGGUGCGCGCUUGCCAUCCUUUCUAGUCAGUGGCUCUGUCCUUUACUGGUCGGAGUCAUGGGCUAGAUCUAUUACUUUGAAAAAAUUAGAGUGUUUAAAGCAGGCUUGCGCUAUGAAUACAUUAGCAUGGAAUAAUAAUUUAGGACUUUGGUCUUAUUUUGUUGGUUUCUAGGACUAAAGUAAUGAUUGAUAGGGACAGUUGGGGGUGCUAGUAUUCAGCGGCCAGAGGUGAAAUUCUUGGAUUCGCUGAAGACUAACUUAUGCGAAAGCAUU
rnacentral:rRNA from 1 species